rnacentral:rRNA from 1 species
ACGAACGCUGGCGGCGUGCUUAACACAUGCAAGUCGAACGGAAAGGCCCUGCUUUUGUGGGGUGCUCGAGUGGCGAACGGGUGAGUAACACGUGAGUAACCUGCCCUUGACUUUGGGAUAACUUCAGGAAACUGGGGCUAUUACCGGAAAGGAGCUCCUGCUGCAUGGUGGGGGUUGGAAAGUUUCGGCGGUUGGGGAUGGACUCGCGGCUUAUCAGCUUGUUGGUGGGGUAGUGGCUUACCAAGGCUUUGACGGGUAGCCGGCCUGAGAGGGUGACCGGCCACAUUGGGACUGAGAUACGGCCCAGACUCCUACGGGAGGCAGCAGUGGGGAAUAUUGCACAAUGGGCGGAAGCCUGAUGCAGCAACGCCGCGUGCGGGAUGACGGCCUUCGGGUUGUAAACCGCUUUCGCCUGUGACGAAGCGUGAGUGACGGUAAUGGGUAAAGAAGCACCGGCUAACUACGUG